CCUGACUGCAGCGGAGUCCAGCCUCUGCGCUCCCGCCACGCUGCCUGGUCCGACAAGCACGGGAGGAAGCGUGCAAACACAGCGUGCGAUGCAGAGAGCGCCUGGACUUCUCUUUCGCUGUAUCCGCGAGGACGGUACUCGGUACUCGGGCAGUAGUAACAGCGGCCACGUGACGGGCCCCCCCAAGGGGACGACGGCCUGGAGGCCCCGCGCUCUGCUGCCCCAGGGGGACCCGCCUGCUCUCUCUCCCCGGGGAGCCUCCCCCAGCGGCUCGGGCAGUGGGCAGAGGGCAGAGGACGGGGACUUGGCUAACAAAGCGGAAGCCCAGUGUCAGUUUCCACCCGAAAGGAUGUCACCAUUGACGUUUUUUUUCUUGUCAAGAAACAGGCUGCAGGGCCCAAUAGGUCCAGCAGGAACACAUCUUACCAACAUUUGGCCGUGGUUCCAGAAAGGGCUUAAGACAGCUGGUGCUGCUGAUUGGAGCAGAUUUUUUUUUUUUUAAAGCCAUUGAUUUGGACGUUUUAUUUUACUUUAUUUAUUUAUAUUUGGCCA